UACGUAAGGGGCAAGCGUUGUCCGGAAUUAUUGGGCGUAAAGAGCGUGUAGGCGGCCAGAUAAGUCCGCUGUGAAAUCUCGAGGCUCAACUUCGAGCUGUCGGUGGAAACUAUCUGGCUAGAGUCCGGAAGAGGAGAAUGGAAUUCCUGGUGUAGCGGUGAAAUGCGCAGAUAUCAGGAAGAACACCCGUGGCGAAGGCGGUUCUCUGGGACGGUACUGACGCUGAGACGCGAAAGCGUGGGGAGCGAACAGG
rnacentral:rRNA from 1 species